rnacentral:rRNA from 1 species
GACGAACGCUGGCGGCGUGCCUAAUACAUGCAAGUUGAGCGCUGAAGGUUGGUACUUGUACCAACUGGAUGAGCAGCGAACGGGUGAGUAACGCGUGGGGAAUCUGCCUUUGAGCUGGGGACAACAUUUGGAAACGAAUGCUAAUACCGCAUAAAAACUUUAAACACAAGUUUUAAGUUUGAAAGAUGCAAUUGCAUCACUCAAAGAUGAUCCCGCGUUGUAUUAGCUAGUUGGUGAGGUAAAGGCUCACCAAGGCGAUGAUACAUAGCCGACCUGAGAGGGUGAUCGGCCACAUUGGGACUGAGACACGGCCCAAACUCCUACGGGAGGCAGCAGUAGGGAAUCUUCGGCAAUGGACGAAAGUCUGACCGAGCAACGCCGCGUGAGUGAAGAAGGUUUUCGGAUCGUAAAACUCUGUUGGUAGAGAAGAACGUUGGUGAGAGUGGAAAGCUCAUCAAGUGACGGUAACUACCCAGAAAGGGACGGCUAACUACGUG